GGGGACGACAGGGCUCGACAGGAGACGACGUACCAGGAUUGCGUGCCGAGGUCCCGGCGGCCUCGUAAAACAGCCGGGAAACAAUAACUGCCGACGAGCAGUACGCUCUCGCGGCCUAAGCGGCCGCGACGCUCCGCACCGCCUCCCCCUGACGGGCGGGGUGUGAGCGCCACCUAGUCGGGGUGCGGCCCCAACGACGCCGCUAGGCGGGGCCAAAGAGCCCAGCGGCUGGCCCAAAGGGAAGCUUGGCAGCGGGCGUCCCGCGGGCGAGACCCUCAAAACACUGCCUACGCACGUAGGAGAUUCUGGGCGGACUCUCACUGGACGGGGAGUUCGAUUCUCCCCCGUCUCCACCC
rnacentral:tmRNA from 2 species